rnacentral:rRNA from 1 species
GACGAACGCUGGCGGCGUGCCUAAUACAUGCAAGUAGAACGCUGAAGGAGGAGCUUGCUUCUCUGGAUGAGUUGCGAACGGGUGAGUAACGCGUAGGUAACCUGCCUGGUAGCGGGGGACAACUAUUGGAAACGAUAGCUAAUACCGCAUAAUAUUGAUUAUUGCAUGAUAGUCAGUUGAAAGGUGCAACUGCACCACUACCAGAUGGACCUGCGUUGUAUUAGCUAGUUGGUGGGGUAACGGCUCAACAAGGCGACGAUACAUAGCCGACCUGCGAGGGUGAUCGGCCACACUGGGACUGGGAAACGGCCCAGAAUCCUACGGGGGGGAGCAGUAGGGAAUCUUCGGCAAUGGACGGAAGUCUGACCGAGCAACGCCGCGGGGGUGAAGAAGGGUUUCGGGUCGGAAAGCUCUGUUGUAAGGGAAGAACGAGUGUGAGAGUGGAAAGCUCACACUGUGACGGUAUCUUACCAGAAAGGGACGGCUAACUACGUG